rnacentral:lncRNA from 1 species
GGCGACUAAAGCAUGCAUGAGCUGGGAAUGGUGACAAGUUGCAAAGGGAAAGGGGGAGGGUAGGCAGGGUAAGAAAGAAAACUUAGGGCUGGGGUGUGAAGGGUCUCUUGGUUUGUUUUCCUGGCUGGGACAGCGAACUUCUCCGCAGCCAAGUUUCUGGAGCGGGGCCGGCCGCUUCGCGGCUCCCAUUGGUCCGGCCGCGGCUGUUGCUAGGCGGAUGGACCAAUGGCGCGCGAAGGGCGUCUGGGCUCCUCCUCUUCUGGGCCGCGGCUGGAGCCCGGGAAGCGGCGGCGUCCGCGCUUCUCCCGGCGGCUCUUUCUCUUCUUCUUUUUUUUUUUUUUUUUUAAGGCGGGGCGGGGCUGGGGGCGCGGCGUCGCGGAGCUCGGGCCGGUGGAAGGUUUACCUGCUAGGCUCGUCCCACCUGUGUGGAGCUCCCAUCGCCCUCCAGCGUUGCGCAGCCUGAAGGGACAGGACGGACAAGCGGGUGCCUCCUUCUAAUUCAUCUUCACCAUUGUGGUUGUCAAUAUGGCAUGCAGAAUUAUCCCUCUUUCCAGCUUCUGGAGUCUACCUGGAUUCCUGGGCUCAUGGCCCCUUCCUCCAUCUUCAAACCAGCAAUGAUGGAGCUGAGCCUGACACUCUAACCGGUUCUCUGGGUGUACUGCAAAGGUCUAAUAAAAGGCACCUUUGCCCGGUUGCUUCAAUUCUAGGAAGCUGUUCAAUGUUUGACUAUAUUUCUCCAUACUCAUUUGAAAACAGUUCAUCAGAUUGGAACGACCUGGAGCAGCCAGCAGAGUGACAAAUGAGGAAGAGGACAGAAUCUAGCUGAAGAAGCUCUGGAAGAUACCAUUUGAAGUCUUGAGUGCUUGAACUCACAAAGAAAGCACAUGAGUACACACUAGCACUUGAGCUCUUCAUUUUAAACAGAAUAAAGAAUGUACUGCUAUUAUUGUCAUUUUACAGAUAGGGAAAUUCAGACUCACCAGGGCUACUCAGAUACAAAGAAAAUGAGCCAGAAUUUCAAGCAAGCCUGAGCUUAGAAUCUACACUAUUUUUUUUUUUUUUUUUGAGACAUGGUCUUACUUUGUCACCCAGGCUGGAGUUCAGUGGUAUUAGGUUGGCACAAAAGUAAUUGUGGUCUCUGCCACUUAAAACUAGAGCCCGAAACUGCAAUUACUUUUGCACCAACCUAAUGCACUUACCAGAGCUCACUUACGCCUUGACCUCCUGGGCUCAAGUGAUUCUCCCACCUCAGCCUCCCAAGUGGCUGGGAAUGUGGGCAUGCACCACCCUGCCCGGCUAGCUUUUCUUUCUUUUUUUUUUGUGGAGACAGGAUUUUGCCAUGUUGUCCCGGCUGGUCUUUAACUCCUGAGCUCAAACUAUCCUUCUGCCCUGGCCUCCCAAAGUUCUGGGAUUACAGGCAUGAGCCACUGUGCCCGGCCCAGAACCUAUGCUCCUAACUGCCACACCAAUUGACCUCUAUUCAGCCAUUUUUAUUUCUAUAGCACUUGGUAUAAUUUCACUUUGCACACAGUAUCUAUAGAUAAUCAUUCCAGGGCAUGUAAUCGUCAUAAGAUUAUUUAUGUUAUUGCAUGUGUAUUACUGCAUGUAAUCUUCAUGUGUUAUUGCCUCUAACAAGUUAUGUAUUUCCAUGUAGUCUUCAUAACUGUGUAUAGAAGACCAUUUUAGAGAUGGAAAACUGAGACUCAGAAGUGGUAAUUGUCCUACUGGUCAGAGAUUUAGCCAGGGUUUGGAUUGUGGAAUGCAGAGGACCACUUACUUUUCACUAGACCAUAAAUGCUCCUCACCACUGAGGCAUGUCAAAUGCCAGAUAUCUCCAGGAACCUUAGGCUACGUCUCCAUUGUUUUUGCUUUUUCCCCCCUUAGACACAGCUUGGCAAAGAACAAAUGAUCCCAAACACCAAACAGCACACUUGGAAACAUUUAACCCGCAUACUUUCAGACUUUCUGGCAUGGACCAACCUCUUGUCUUACCUUUGUUCCUGGCCAGAAAGAAAUGGCAUGAAAAGAUGGACAGUUUUUAUAACCUCUUUGAGCUCUAAACCAUGUUUCCUGUGCACUUAGGAGAUCUUAAUAGAAACCAAGUACUUCUUUUAGGCAUCUAUACUCUUAAUGCCGUAAGUCAAGUCAAGUACCCAGGUGGUUAAGAUAACUGUACCAACAGAAACAUUUUUAAAAAAUAUCCUAACACAACAUGAAGUGACCAUCGCGAAUUCAAAGAAGCAGGCAUAUUUCUUAAAGGUUGAAAAGAGGUGAGUCUUUCACAAGAUUCUAGCUCAAGGCCAUAUUUGCACAAGUAUAGUCAUUCCUCUAGCAAGGUUUUGUUUAUCUGGCCAUUAAAAAAAAUUAAAACAACUUUUACUUUCGGCUGUUUGAACAAGAACUGUUUUUCCAGCUGUGCAGUCUAAGGAGGAUACAAGAGGCCUGGUUUGGUUAUAUUUUUUCCAGAAUAAGAAAGUUUCCUACACAAUUCUGCUUGGGCUAAACUGCAUACAGAGCAGUUUAUUUAUACUGUUUUAUCGCACACCUGUUUGGAUAUGGGCUAUUUUCUGGUAUUUAAACAUACCGUUUCUUGCCAAUUGCUUUAUCUUCAGAGUCCUAUGGUUUGGCUGCAAAUGUUUGUUAUUAACUCAGAAAGAAACACCAAUUGCUCUAUGAACAUUAUUAGUGAGGACUAAGAUAACUUAAUUGUUACUUACUUCAAACAUGUUAUCACUGAAGAACUUUAUCCCAGAAAUCCAUUCAAAAUAAGGUAGAGGCCAUUUCACUAUACUUAAAGGGAAAAAAGGAGUUAACAAAGCCUUUUUGGAAUACAAUCUUUAAUGAAACACUGUUUUUCUAAAA